UCCCAAUCGUCAGGUUAUUUUUUCACAGCUUGUGACUCAUUGAUAUACCAAUCAGAAAACACAUUUAAAAUAUAUUCAACUAACUCAUUGAUAUACCAAUUAGAAAACAGAUUUAAAAUAUAUUCAACUAACAUCCAAACUCAGUUUAUUACAAUAUUCCACACAAUCACAAUAUAACCAUACAAUAUUCCACCAAUCACAAUACAACACAUAAAACGCUCAACAAGUAUAGGAACGUCUCCAACACCUUAUAGUGCCUUCAACCUGCAAAACAUCAACAUCCAUCCACAUAUUAACCAUUGAGUUGAGAUCAAUUCACCCCUUGACGGAAAUAAGAAUAUGCGCUCAUGUAUGAACAAAACUAAAAUAAACAAACUUUGAGGCCAUAGCAUGUGCUACAAAAAUGUUAACAAUUUUUUUAAUAAUUUGUGGUAGCUUGUUCAAAUUCUACUGCAAGGAUUUCAGAUAUGUAUGUAUACUCAAAGUUUCAUAGAUAUUUGUGUGCAAAAUUAAUCUCCCGGUUUCAGAUACGUGUGUAUGCAAACUUAAUCGAUUCCUGGUGCUACUCCUAGUGCACACUUAUUAGAUAUACAGAAAUCAUGGUUAAAAUUCACAUGUACAUGUCCUGGUCCAGUCAAUCACUUACCUUCGUGAUUGCAUCCAUGUCAUGAAGCAGGACAUGGCUGAAUUGGCCUUCACUCACACCAACCAUGUAUAUGAGAAUGAUCAGUCAGCCAAUGAGGUCCAUUGAUUGCACAAGAUGAAAAGAACAUCCUGAAUUUGGGCACAUAUAUACCUAUAGAAAUAGCAGCAUCUCAAUCACUGUAUAAUCAGCAAGCACACAUAGCAGCAGUAAUAAGAACUCUCUGAAUCACAAACACUAAUCAGCACCCCUCUAUGCCAAUCUAUCUCCAACGGAUGAAACAACAAUAUCUCACUCAUCUCAGACGAAUCCUCUCCCAUCUCCCUCUCUCUGAAUCUCAUAUCACCUGAAGCAUAACAUGAGCUCGUUAAUAGACCAACCAAUUUCAUGUUUUUUCUAAUAAAAAGGAAGAGCCAAACUGUAUCUUAUCAUAUGAGGAGAAGAAAAAUAUAAGGGGUCAUACUUAUUCUGCGCCUAUUACGCUGGACCACACCACAUCUUCCAACAUGCUAUCCAAGACUAGCACUAGAAGAUGAAACACACAUAAUGUGUGUGAUGAACAACGGGUUUUAAGGCCAAACACACAUCAGGACGCUGAUAUAAGCCGACGGUACAUUCCCCACGGAGGAGGGAAACUGAGGAAUAAGCCAGCAGCCCCCUCACCUCCAGUACAAGGCUGUUCUCCGGAGAUAUAUGAGAAAGGCAAGCAUCGCGACCCUGCCAUUUACUCGAAGCUACGGGACACACACAGGAUAAAUAAAGAGAAAAACCAACAUCCCCUUUCUUUGCUCCCUUGAGCGUUGGCACAUAAUAAUGCGCUUGAUUGGGACAUGGGUUAACUGAAAUGUUGUGACGUGGUAAUUCCAUGAUGGAGGAAGUACUAGCUAGUACUCCCUCAGUUCCUAAAUAUAUGUCUUUUUAGAGGUUCCACUAGUGGGCUAUAUAUGGUUAUAUAUAGACAUACUUUAGAGUGUAUAUUCAUUCAUUUUACUCCGUAUGUAGACCCCUAGUGAAAUCUUUUAAAAGACUUAUAUUUAGGAACGGAGGGAGUACAUACACACAUGUCACACCGAGACAGAAUCCCCACACCCGCUCUGUUUACCGAAUGGAGGGAGGAAGUGACGAGAUCCCCUGUCCAUCCCUGUUGAGGGCUCAGCACCAUGCAGCACGGGCGGACCUAACGAGGCUCGCAGGUUGGGUUCAAGAUUCCGAGGGUACGGCUGGGUAGGGUUAGCAUGUCGCACCGCUAGAAGUAAAAGAAACAAAACAAGAGGGAAAAAAUAACGGAGAAGGAAGGGAGCAUAUCGGAUGAACCAGCCCAACGGAUGAAGAAGCAGCAAGCAAAUAUAGAGGCAUCUCCCUCUUGGCUCUCUCCCCACCCCCAAAUCGAGCCCACCGUCGCUCCCGUCAUCCCCUUCAACAGCGGCAAUGAGUCUGGGACACAUGUCCAUCCCGCUCGGCUCUCUCCCCACCGCAGGGGAUACAUCGCAUCCCCGUGUGCAGCCCCGGCGACCGUGGCACGCCCUCUAUCUACAUCCUGGCAGUGUCGCCUCUCCCUCCUCCAACUUUCUAUGCUUUGCUCGAUCUAAGAGAAAAUCAAGGGUAGGACGGACCUGUGAUGCGGAGGACAUGACGUGGUGACGGGAACGAUCUGCCCGGAGGUGGAGGCGGGAAUGAUCUGCUAUUUGUACUCCUUGAGACGCGCCUUGAGCUCAUGGUCCUCCUCCGACUGCGAAAGGCUUGAAACACGAGUCACGCGACCACACCCGUAAGAGAGAGGAUGAGUGGCGCCCCCGCCCCAUGGGAAGAAAGCAGAGGAAGAGAAGGGGGGAAGCUCUGGGGUCGUCGUUGCUCACCGGGUUGUCCCCCUUCGUCUUCCCCUUUCCCUUGGCCGGCUGUGGCAGGGCGUGGGAGGCGGCAUGAACUCUGUCGCCGCCACUAGCAUCCUCGUGCGACGAGGGAGAGCAGAUUAGGAUUUGGAUCUCCGUCUGGAUCGGGGGAGGAUAGGGACUGAGGGAGGAGGCGGCGGAAGGAAGUUAAACGAGGGAGCAGAGGGUGUCGUGCACUGCGUUUAGGUUUAGCUAUAUGAGAGGCGAGUGAGAGGCGAGUGAGAGACGUUGGAUCCGCAG
rnacentral:lncRNA from 1 species